rnacentral:rRNA from 1 species
UGGCGGCGUGCCUAACACAUGCAAGUCGAACGAGAAAGUGGAGCAAUCCAUGAGUACAGUGGCGUACGGGUGAGUAACACGUGACUAACCUACCUUCGAGUGGGGGAUAACCCCGGGAAACCGGGGCUAAUACCGCAUAACAUCCGAACAAAGGAGCAAUUCGCUGGAAGAGGGGGUCGCGUCUGAUUAGCUAGUUGGCGGGGUAAUGGCCCACCAAGGCGAUGAUCAGUAGCCGGCCUGAGAGGGCGCACGGCCACACUGGAACUGAAACACGGUCCAGACUCCUACGGGAGGCAGCAGUGGGGAAUUUUGCACAAUGGGGGAAACCCUGAUGCAGCACCGCCGCGUGGAGGAUGAAGCCCCUUGGGGCGUAAACUCCUUUCGAUCGGGACGAUAAUGACGGUACCGGAAGAAGAAGCACCAGCUAACUCUGUGCCAGCAGCCGCGGUAAUACAGAGGGUGCAAGCGUUGUUCGGAAUUAUUGGGCGUAAAGGGCGCGUAGGCGGUGCGGUAAGUCUGUGGUGAAAUCUCUGGGCUCAACUCAAAGUCUGCCCCGGAAACUGCCGUGCUGGAUUGUGGGAAAGGUGCCUUGGAAUUCCCGGUGUACCGGUGAAAUGCGUAGAUAUCGGGAGGAACACCUGUGGCGAAAGCGGCGCACUGGACCACAACUGACGCUGAGGCGCGAAAGCUAGGGGAGCAAACAGGAUUAGAUACCCUGGUAGUCCUAGCCCUAAACGAUGAUUGCUUGGUGUGGCGGGUACCCAAUCCCGUCGUGCCGCAGCUAACGCGAU